rnacentral:tRNA from 1 species
GCGGAAGUAGCUCAGUUGGUAGAGCGCGAGCUUCCCAAGCUUGAGGUCGCGGGUUCGAACCCCGUCUUCCGCU